rnacentral:lncRNA from 1 species
CUUUGUGGCUUGUCUUGUUUUUUAUCAUAAAUCGAGAAAAUACAUCACUAUGAUUUCAGCCUAUUUCAUUUAAGUUGAAGAACUCCUCAUUGGAGCUUUUUUUUUGAAUGACUGCUUUAUAUUUAUAUCAAAGUGAUCCACUUUACGGUCCGGAGUUAAACAAAAAGGGAAAGGACCCAAAACACAGAACAAAAAAGGAUUUAUUUAAAAGGAACUAAAAGAAAAGCAACAAAAAUUGAUUCUAAAUGUCCAACUGAAAAACAGGUAAACGAGCAACAGGUGAGGCAGGCGAGACACAGGUGAGACUAAUGAGUGAUUAACGAAGGAGGAAAAACUAGGGAAGUAAAACCAGACUAGUAACACAAGGAAUCAACUCCUACAAAAUAAAACAGGAAAUAAACACUGAAAACUGACCUAAAGAAUAAAACACAGGGAACAAGAGGGAAACAGGGUCACACUGAAAACUAACAAGACUGGACUACAGGGGAACAGGAACUCUAAGGAAAAGACACUCAUAUAAAACCAGAACCAUAUCUGGACAGAACAUAUCGUGACACUUGCACCACCAUGUUUCCAUAAAAGCAGAGUGGACAAACCACUAACAUGCAUUUUGUGUUUUUUAAGUGGCUACCCAAAGUGCACCAGCUGCAAGGAGGAGAGAGUGGCCAUUGUGCACAAAAAAACCUGAUGGUAAAAUCCUGACAAAUGGAGGAUGGUACUCAUCAUGAAUCACAAGAGCCUGAAGGCCACCGUCACUUCUGAGGUUCCACCGUUUGGAGGAACGAGCAGGUAAGUGUUUCAAUCUUCUUACCGCCCCAAAUCGAUCAUUUUCCACUUCUUGUGGUAAAUCUCACUUCUAAAUCUUCAUCUCAUAAACUUUACUCCUGUGAUGAAAAGUUGAAAAACUUUUUUAUGUGUUUAAAGUGUUUAAAGUGUAAUUCUGCAUUUAAAUUCUGCCUUUUUGGAAACAAGCGCUUUUUUUAAAACCCUUCAUACCACUAUUUUAUUUUCUUCAUUGGCUGUUUAAGAGUCGAGCUCUAGCAGUGGUGAGAGUUUCUUCAACAUCGACUCAAAAUGAAUAAAAAAAGACUCAAGGACUUCACAGAGGAGCUCCGCACAUGCUCACAAAGAGCCGCUUUACAGUGAAACAGUUUUAAUGAUGGCUGUAGUUCAACUGUCUCUGCUCUUUUUUCAUCUUUUUUUUCACCAGGUGUCCCUGAGCAACAUUUUCCUUAUUCUGCAGAAUAUAGUGGAAAUGCAGAAACAGAGCUGAACAGGUAAAACCGGGACAAGUAAAGUAGCAGAAAAAGCAAAAACAACAAGACAGCAGAGAAACAGAACAGAUUGAUGAAUGUAUGGAUAGUGACAUCGGAAGCACAAAGCUCCACUUCAAAAAGAAAGCUGAAGAGAAAGGCAGAAAAACAACAGGGCAGAAAGAAGGGUCCGGAAACAAGUCCAAACAAGCAGGAAUAUAAGAGCACACUGCAACAGUAUCCAGAAACAAACUAGAUCUGCACCAGUUCCAACCAUCAACAUCAUUUUAAGCAAUACCUAAUGGUUCCCAUUGUAGAGCGAUGACGUAACACAAACAGACAAACAGCGCACUCAUGGCGUGGCAGGCGGAAGAUGGUGAUGGUUCAAAACACAUUUAUAAAUGAUGAAAAAUUGUUGUUUUUGCAAUAUCACUAGAAUAAAAUCUACUUGUUUUGUUAGACCGGCAGCUUUUGGGUUAUUAACUCUGUGUCUCUGUGACAGGAAUUGAUCAGGAUAUCAUUGGUAGCAUUAUCAAUUCCCUUCCUGACAAAAACUUUCGUCCUCUGACUUUUCUACAUGAUUUUUUUGUGCAUUUUUCAUUUCUAAUUUUGUGCAUGUAAAUAUUUGUUUCCCGUCUCCUAACUUGUUGAUAUCAGGGUUUCCCCCGCAUGCAAUUGAUUGUGGCACACCACCGCAGCUAAAUAAAAACCGCCACAGUUAAAAAAAAAAUCGUUUUCAUCUCACAUAGUUUUACCUCGGACUCAUGUGUAUCAGCAGUGUUUCCCCUGCAUUCAUUCAGCAGCAGCAUUACGUGUGCUGUUACUGAAAUUUCACAUGAUCAUUUAUAUCAAUGUGCCACUAAUGUUUCUACUUGCACUGUGUGAGCACAACAACACACAACGUUAUUUCCAACUUGUUGUGAGUCAUCAAGGAGCGCCUCAAAUCCUGUCGGACCCUCUUCUAUCAACGUAAAAGGUAAAGUUCAAGCUUAUACACGCUCUGUAUAGCGAGUAGCGCGGGUAACAUAGCAUAAAUGUAACAGCAUAGCUUCUGGAGCGGCAAGAGAGUGACACACAAACCCACCGCCGCAGCUGCAAAAAUUUCUAGUGGAAACACUGAAUGUACUUUAAAAACUUUGGACAAAAUCUGAAAAGUUUGCAAGUUUCUGCAGAAAAGGUCGAUCUUAGAGUCAGCCUAUAAGAUCAGAAAGGAAAUUUCGAUACACAGUGAAAGUUUGGAAAAUAAAACCCUGAUCAUGAGCAAAUUUAUCCUUUUAAGAGCAAUUCAGCAAAAUAUGUCAGUAUUUCUUUGCUUGACCCGAUCAGGGAGUCAUGUUUUAUUCUCUGUGGUUUCAGAGAGCUGCUCCACCAUCGUGAUAGUCACAGCAGACAGAGUGGGAGGAUGCUGCUGUACUUCACGGCUCUAAACUCAACCUGUAAGUCAGCCAAGCUUCAGACUUGAUUAUUUAAAGAGAGUUUGAAGAUUGAAAAAGGUUUCCAGAGUGAGCGAGUGAAGAGUGAGGAGUGACUUAUCAUCCUUAAUUGAUUUGUUACAGUCUGGUGGCUCUCAGCCGCCUCCUCUUAGAUGCUUCAUACAGUCCUGACAUCUUUCGUCUACUUUUCUUUUCUAAUUUCCUCGAAUUUUUGGACUCUCUCUUUCCUCUGAGUGUCGUAUUCUCCGUUAACCGCCUCGUCUUUCUGUUGUUUUCACAUAGCAGCAGGAUUUGAGACCUGCUAGCUUCUGCUGCGGUCUGCUGGGAGCUAAUAGAUUCUGCCAGUUCUCAAGCCAAAGGCUACACUGGUUUUGUCACCGUGCCCGGCCUGCAGCAGGGCUGGAGGGGUUGGACAGGCUCACAGGGUCAGGGGGGAGGAGGAUGGAGGUCUGGCUGGAGGGCACAGAGCAGAAAGAAAAGAGGAGGUGGAGGUGGAGGGUUGGAAUUGAAACAUGAGUUCGGCCAGGGAGGAUGGACGUCAGCCAGAGCGGCAGCCUGCAUCAGAGGUGACCCUCCACCCACCGCCACCACCAACCACAACCUCAAAAUCGUCCACUGGAGGGAAAGGAGUGAUCCUCCGUGGCACUGCAGCAUUCCACUGUUCCUCUUUCAGCUGGCAUGGAAAUCAGCGGCGUGCAGCGAGCCAAAAUCAACAUUUUGGAUUUAUUUUCUAUCACCAGAGGAAUGGAAUUUGGUGGAGUUGGAAAAAUCAGAUCAGACGGCUCAGUAUCUCUGAGAAAAGUCCACAUGAAGGGAAUGUAAGACAAAUAACGCUCGACGAAAAUGGGAUUAUUUUUCAUGACUAUCAAUGAUCGUAUAUUUAGAGACAUGAGUGUUUGUGUGUCCAUCGUUUUGGAACAACCUGGAGUAUCUCAACACUGGAAAGAAAACUACGAUAAUCCAGCUAAGAUGACACAGAUGCAUGAAUAAUCAUCUCUGGAUCAACUUUGCUGAAUAUUCUUAAAUCAUCUAAAGUCAUUAAGUGUGAGGAAACACUCCACAACAAAUUAACACAACAAAUCUUACAAAAAUAUCUGAAACAUUUGUACAACAGAGUAUUAGGGCCACAUUAAGAAAAAGAAAAUUAGGACUUUGAGCACCAACACCUUAUGGCCUACAGAGUCAUAUGAUAAACUCAAGUCCUAUGAAACUACUGCUAUAAAUGACUGCAUUGAGAGAUUAAGCCUCUGCACAGACAUUUCCCCCUCCUCAAAAACAGUGAUUCCCUACAAGUCCGCCUGGUUCUUUCUGUGGAAAAGAUGCAUUUCUUGCAUAUGUCCUGAUACUUCUGACAAUGAAACACCAAAGGAUUUAUCUCCUUGUUUGUGAAACAGAGCCACUGAAGUUCAAUUCAUCUAAAUGAUCCAUAACGCUCAUUUAAACAACUACCAACAGGUUAGAAUAUUGGCACCAACUUUAUUCUCAAAAGUAAUGAUUUUAUUAUGACUUUAUUCUCGUAAGUAAUUAUGUAGUGAGCAUGAAUAUCACCUCUGCAACGUCUCCCAGCUUCUCCCGAGGGAUUCCUGAGUCAACCAAGCCAGCCAGAAAUGCACAAGAGCUAAAAGCUGCAGUACCACCAGUGCCCACUUGAGGCAGGCUGCAAACAGACUAGAAACUGAGUACAUACAAAAAACAAAAAAUGUUUAUGGUCUAAAAAUCUCAGGGCUCCCACGGCAACGACUGUUCGAAGUUAUCCAGGUUACAAGAUCGAAGCGCUAAAAUGCAUCCUUAUCCGAAACCUUCAGAUGUGCAGGAGUAAAACCGAACUGGUGAUCAGUAAAAUCAGUCUGCAGUAGCAGCUGGAUGAAUUGUUUAAAAGUUAUCUCUCUAUAACCAGGAAGAAGAAAAAAAUCAUGAGUACUCGCCUUGUCCUUUGAUAGCUGUUCACAAAAUGUGCUUUAACUUUUACCCCGGGGAGAAGACGGUGAGAUAAAAUCAGCCGAGCAGCAGAGACGUCUUCUCAGUGUGUCGGAGUUUAACAAGUGUGAGGUAAGAGGAUAGAAGACAUUUACCUGUGACAGCCGUUUGUCAGACGCUAAUUCCUGCUCUGGUCUUUGCCUGCGGGCCGCUCACUCUCACCUGCGUCCUUUAACCAUCAUGGAAGAAAAAGAUACCAUCUGACCCAACGGCCCCCCUCUCUCGCUAAAUACGCCGCCUUACUCCGAAGACCACAUCCCUCCAGGUUAGCUCAGAGGCCCACAGCACUUAAUGAAAUAAAUACCAUCUGCCUCAGAGCGCCUGCGACCUUUAACCCAUCAAAUAAGCAGGAGAGCAGUGGCGUGUCGGAGCGCCGUCAUGUCUCUGUGAAGUCCCCCACACGGGCGCGCUUCCUCAUAAUAAACAAUCGGAGCUUUUACCUUCCUGCACAGCUGAUAAGAUCGCGGGGCUUUUCAUGUUGAUGGCAUCUGUCUUUGUUCCUCUCCAUACUGAGACGUGAAGCAGAUAGCAGAGUGUCAGACGGCAAGUGUUUCCAUCAUCUGUCAGCAGACGGUAAUGUGCUCUGAUAUACAGAUAGCACGGCGCUGGACCAGAUUAAUUCAUAAACCGCUCGGUGUAAACAUGCAGCGGGGAAAAGCCUGCGUGAAGAAUACAUAUCAGGAGAGGAUGAACCAGGGGGACCACAUGAUCCAGAACCUGCUGCAGAAACUCAUUAUGGAGAAGAUCUCAGUCGGACCACUUGGAUCUUGGAUGAAUGAUGCACAUCUGAUAAGACUUGAGUUUUGCAGGGUAUGCUUCCUUUGCAUCCAUCUCAAACCUGAUGUACAUGUACCUGCAGCGGUCCACAGAGUCCGCUAUCAAGCUGAGCUCUGUGAUCAUCUCUGGAGAUGAUUUCACGAAGCUGCAUAAAGAAUUAAGUGUUGUGCUCAUUGCGGUCAUGUACUGAUGGAUAACAGUAAGAAGGAGAAAAGCUCCAGGGAGGCUUAGAUCACCCUGAACAGAGGAGAAGAACAGUAUUCAUAGUAUGAAGGUUUUAGCGUUGGCUUUCCUUGAUAGUUGGUAAGUCAGGUGUCAUGUACUGAAUAAGGAUGUCUGCGUGCUGUUGUUGAAGGAAGCUGCACCAAGACGUAUGAAAGAGGAAGUGUGCAGAGGGUGCUCUGUGGUUUGAACUUUCACAUCGAGCUUUGAGAAAAUAUCUAGAUAUAAAUAUGAAGGUAUUUAUACGGAUCUUUGAAAUCUAUAGAAAGAGAAUUUGCAAGUAAGGGUCAGGACUAGAUCAGCUCUUUGUUUCAUUCUGUUCCUUCUCAAAAUGUUUAUUUUGACAUACAUAUGUUGUUUGGUGUACAGAUGUAUUAUUUUGUUCUGUGUUUUUGUUUCUAGUUGUAUUAUUAUUUUUUGUUGUUCUUAAAGUUUGAGAGAAAGAAAGAAAGAAAGAAAGAAAGAAAGAAAGAAAGAAAGAAAGAAAGAAAGAAAGAAAGAAAAAGAACUUUUGGUUAUGGAACUUUGGGGAGUGUUAGUUAUUUUCGUCUAUAAUACAUGCUUUUUUUAACUCACUUAGACUGCAAAACUGUAUGACUGAAUGUAUGUGUUAGAUAUGAAUGUAGAAUAAAUAGCACGACUCCUUAUUAGGUAAAUAGGUGGACCCACUCGAGGAACAAGGAACCAGCCUACACAUGAAGACAAAGAAGGAAAGAAACUCUUUGUCUAGAUAGACGGAUCCUCGACUAUAAAGGGUUUGAGGGAAAGUUAGUCGGGUUCUGAGGGUUGGUUCUGUUUAGCAGGUUGACCUAAUUCUGGACCGAGAGAUCUCUGUUUUGCACAUUCUUGACUCAUUGUAGUUAAUAAAAUAGAGUUUCAACUGAGAACUCGUCUGAAUCCUCGCCUUCUCUUCUUUCCAUCGACGACCACAAAGGAAAAGGCUGAGAGGUAAUUAAGGAAUUUGAGUAAAAGAGUUAAUAUCAGUCAGUACCUUCUUUUUUGUGUUUGGGAAGUUAGACUUAAGAGUGACCCUUCAGGUGAUAGAAAAAACACCUUUUUUCCAACAGCUCCACAAAUCCUUCAAAUCAUAAAAAGAACUCGAUCUAAUGGAUGAAAUGUGGAUUUACACAUGCAUACUUUAGUUUCAUUAUCGAGCACACAUCUUAUAUCUAAAGGCUAAUCACCAAAUAUGAUCAUCCGUCAUAACCUGACGAAUCACAGCCUCUUAAAUCUGCAUCAGUCUCCAGGAUGCAGACGCUGAAUCUCUCUCUCUCCACGUUUUAAAUCUGCACUGUCUCCUUGAUGAUCAUCGUCUAUUGAUGUCACCAUAACAGCGUCGGUGGGAGGGAGAGGCAAUCAGCUCUUAUUGUCUACUUAAUUAAGUUUCAUUUGAUGGAGCUGAUGAGUCGUAAUCAGCGCCUCAACCUGCGCCGACGUGCCAAGAGAAAAAUCUGCAGUUACAAAUACAACUGCAGGAUCUCCUAACAUUACUAACAGUGAUCUAUUCCUCUUCACUUUCAUUUAUCCGUCAUACGCUCGUUAACAGAACCGCCUUAAACGGGGUCCAGAAGUACAAAAGGAAUAAAUGAUUCCAGGCUCGUCUUCACGCCGUUUGUUCUAGUUUUGUUCUCGCUGCUUUCUACGAGAAACAGAAAAAAACGUCCCCGAUGGUUCCGAUAAAAAAAAGCAAAAAGAGAAAAUUCAAGACGGAGAAAGAAUCAGAGUCCUGAUCAGUUUGUGGAAAAGACAGGUGUAAUUGGAGUAAUUAUCUCAUCACCUUCAGGCUUUAACGAUAAAUCACACACACUGUAAAUCAGUCAUGUGAGUGACUGUCCUAAAAGUGGACUUCCUUUAUGACCGACCAUAUUUCAGUUUAACUCUGUUCUUCACUGAUUUAUGUGGAAAUAACAUGCAGCACCUUCUCUUCUCUUUAUCUGCAAAAUGUUCCCCGUUGAGGGUUUUAGUUUUAACAGCAUGUCGGUGUUUGACGAUAAGGUUCCUGAUAAUGUGAUCGGCAUGAUUGGAAAAGAUUGUACAGUACUCAGGAAGAGAGUUUGUAUUAGAGUGACCAAAUUCUGAAUCCCCAAAAAAGAGGAAACGACUACGCAAAGGCGGAGUCAUGGAAUGGUUUUUCAGUUUGAGUGUCUUUUACAUGCUUCUAAGUCACCCCCAAAUUCCUCUGCAUAUGAAACAGCUACAAAAAGGCCGUAUCCGCCAAUCAUAGUUGAUCGUAACUUUUCAAGUUAAUGUGGCGAUUUCCACCGGCUUCUUUCCGUUCCUCUGCGGAUCGCCGCAGCAUGGCGGAUAAAUUCAGCACAGAUUAACCCGUGCUGGAAAGGAAGUCGGGCACAGACACAAAAUAAAACAUCCGGCUUCUUUUCAAAAUAAAACACUCGGUGUUUCAGGAGGAUCGUAUUUCACACCAUGCAAACGGGCGGAGACGAACAAGUGAAAGGUUUUUAGACGUCAUUUCACCCCGAUGACACCAUGGAUGAGGAGAUGCUGAUUCUAGAAGUCUAGAAGUAGAUUUCCUCCUCUGGAAGGACACAAUCUACUGCUUAUAUGUCUAUGUGUCUGUCUUUAAAGAGACAACUCAUUAUCGCGCGAUUGCACGUGAAUCCACGGGUUCUUGUGAGUUCUGGUGAUUACCGCUGUCCGUAAUCAGCCACAAAAUUGGCCUCACAAACAGAUCCGGUGGGAAUCGGUGGACGGCAAAAAUCGCCACCAUUCUGGACAUGGUGGAAAUUCGGAAUUAGUAAGUUCAUGCGACAUAAACUCAAAACCUGGACAUUUGGAGGAUUUUAUAAACUCCCCCGGACAAAGCUGGACAAGAACGGACAGCCCCCCAAAACAGAGGGCAUGUCCGGGUAAAAGAAGACGUAUGGUCACCCUAGUUUGUAUGUAAAAGUAUCUCUCAGCAGAGCUUUCUAACCAGCAGCCCUUCAUAUCAGGACCAGGCUACAAUCUUGAUGACUUUUCUUCAGAACAAAAUGAGGUUGCAGUUUUCUGAGACUGACACAUAAAAUCUGCUAUCUUAGAUUUUCAUAAACUGCUGUGUGAAACCACGGGGUCGAAGCUUGAGGAACUCGGAGAGCUCGCUCUUUGACUCAAUUAUAAUUCCCUCCUCCAGAUGUCCACGGUUUUGUUCUGAUACAAUAACAUCUGUGAUGACGCCCCGGGAUGCCAGCGAGCCAAUGAGCAGGAUCCUCUCAGAGUGAGGUAUGUUAGCAGACGGCGUCGACAAAGCUUCUGCAGCUCGUCCUAUCUUCUGGGGAAUGACAGCGAGGGUACACAACAAGACAGUCAGCAGAGUUCAUUUCCGAUGCAUGCGUCCUGUGGUCUGCACAUCUGCGUCUGGCCCUCCGCAGAAUGGCCCACUUCACUGUGCAUGGCGCCAUAUGGGAGCCCUGUUUGAAGCCACUAGCAUACAACCACGCAAUUAAUUCAGAACUACGCCAGACAAUCUGCUGCGAGACGGCCCUAAUGAAACUGACGUGGAUGGAUUCGGAGAGGGUGAGGCCUUUAGGUGGGGACACACACACACACACAGACACACACAGAGACACAGACGAGCUUGCGUGCAUGCUCACAGACCGCCGGUCAUCCAGUCUGUGCAUUCUGGAAGCAUCUGCAUGACUGCCCUAAAUUUGCCUGACGUGGGCCUGAAAUUGAAUCUAAUGUAGCACUCCCCGGAGACACUGAGCAGCUCGCUGGUAAAUUAUUGAAUAAAAAAAGAGGGUUUGGACGGCGUAAUGUAACCGAAAUAAAUGAGAGGAGAACGGUAAGUCCACACAAGUGUCUGUUGACUCGUUGUUCAGCUCGUUUAUCACGAUCACAGCAUGAAGAGAGUCCGAUCAACAGAAGCUGCUGUCGGAGUUUGAGCUGGUUUAUAUUCGGGGGGAUGUUUUUGACACCACUUUGCUUUAAAAACACAAAACUACGAGGAGAUUUAAUGGCAGCUUUUACUCCUCCUGAACACAAACAUCACUUUAAAAACCCGCAUUAAUUCUCAAUCCUCCCCCAAACACUGACUUUAUGAAUAAUAACCGCUCAGCUCUGAUGUUGUACAGUGUUUUUUAACCCUCUGAACGCUGCAGAACUUCGAUAAUGUCGACUGAAAAUCCUCGUUUAGAUGUAAAUUUUUACAGUUGUGGUUCAUCGGUCUACUCUCACCGUUACUGUUAAAUACAAACUCAAGAAGCAGAGAUGUAAUACAGAUACAAGAAGAGCAGUUUUAGGAAAAGUGAAACAAAAAUUAUUUACCUACUCUUGUGGACCUGGGACUCGACAAACUCUUCUUUCUCGACUUUGCCGUCCUCUGAAGUCACCUUGUGUUUAUCCAGGUUGGGACUGAAGCAGUGAGGUGAUAUCCACGUGUCCGUGGUGUUAGGCCUGGUGAAAAUGGACUGCUGGGCUGCUAACUCACACUUUGUGGACUUUUGGAGCUGGUUUAGCACGUCUGAAAUCACAAGACAGAUGCACUUGUCACUUUGAGCCCACGUAAAACAAAAAUCCUCAUUUAGUUCAACUUUUGGCUGCAAGAACUGUCCGACUUUGGAGGUGCAGCUAAAGCUAACUUAAACAUAUUCAUAACAUAUUCCGAAUCCCUAAAAAGGGUACACAACUACGCGGGGGCAGAGUCACAGAGUUGUGUUAAGUACAUUUUCAGAGUUUUUCAGGUUGGAUCGAGUGUUUUUACGUGCUUCUAACUCAGUUAGUCCAAACGACACAAACGUAGGACUUCCAUACAAAACCCCAACAUUUGAAAGAUUUUGUUAACUCCCCCAAUAAGGCCAGGCAGGCUGGAUAGCCCCCCAAAAAAGAGGACAUGUUCGGGUAAAAGAGGACAUAUGGUAUUAUGCAACAUUUUAUACUUCCUCUUUAACUCCUCUUUAAUAUCUUUACAUCAUUUUCUUAUAAGAGAAAGCCUCCUGAUUCUCAUUGCGAUGUAUUAGAAUAUCAUUAUUCGCUUUAUUUUAGCUGCUGUCUCCUUUAGCGAGUCUCACCUUUUCAUGCACAGUCCCGGUUAGAGCAGUCUACAUCUAUUUUCUAGGAUUUUGACGUGUUAACUCCCCGAUUCGAAACUUUGCAUACGUCGAAUAUGGAAAACCAAAGAUCGUAACUUUGCAGUACCGCUCCUUUAACUGACAGCUAUCCACCACCAUCACACUGACGCUUCGACACGCUCCUGCUUCAAUCAGCCAAUAGAAAAACUGAGAUACUGAUUCAAGUGAAUCUGACAGGAAGUAGAAGUGCGCUUACAGGAAAAGGAUGAUACACAUCACUUGGUAAUCAGUGCAAAGUUGACUCGAACGUCUCAGACCGAGCUGCAGAGAUGAGUGACUCUACAAAAAAGAGUUUAAUUCUGUUUUUGCCAUUUGUGUUUAUGAACUGUGUUUUCUGACACUGACAGGGGAUCAAUUGUGACAGGCACUGCGGGUUGCUGAGGUCUGGAGAUUAAAACAAUUCAGCGUCAAUGUAGGAUCAGGAGCAUCAGUCUCCUCGACUGUGCAGACACUCUGCAGUCGCAGAGAUCUGACAGGAAUACACACCAUCGGCAGCAGCAGCAGCAGCAGCAGCAGCAGCUCUGUAUACGGUGGCAGCUACUGCACCGUGCUUUAAUUCCCAUCUCAUUUCUCAUGCACGAAUCAGACGGGCUCCAGUGCUCUCACAGCUUGUCUUCAUCUGCAGCCCUGCGUCUUUGGUUAUUCCAGCCCGCCGUCAGUCCUCGGCCCGAGCAGACCUUCAAUUAUUUAUAAAGGAUUUUUUCGUUCUUUCGGAGUUUGAAAAAGCUGCAAGAGAUGCAGAUGCAGAGGACGCGCUCGUCUUCCUGCUCUCCUGUGUUUAUUUCCCGGCCUCAUCGUUGAAUUUUGCUUCUGAGCCAUCGGCAGUGACAUUGAGAGGAAAUAGCUUCACAGCAUUAUGGAGAUAUGUUUCCAUUGUGGGAAAGAUUAAAUUAAUCUGCUGUUACUGAGUGCCUUAAUGCAUUCAGCUGGCAUAGUCCCACAACGCAACCUAAUUAUAUCAAUUGAGGGACGAGGGAAAGAGCAGAAAAGACGGAUGAAUGGUAAUUUGACAAACUUGGGUUUGAUGUGCUCCCCUUUUAUCUCAUCUGGAUGCGAUGGUGCUGCCUGAUAAGGAAGGUCAGCCUGGUGUGUUAUCUUUAUUAAAAGUUGGUUCAAAGGAUGCUUGUAAUAAUGAGCCACUCAAUUCAGCGGAUUACAAUCUCUUUGAUCGAAGGUUAAAUACUGAACAUAUGUGCGGGCCCCUUGCAUGUGUUCCCACCAGCUGUGCUGCUAUCGUACAUCAUACAUACUCCAUAUCGGACAUGCCUCGCUAAUUCACUGCUAAGACCCUCUGUUUCCCUGUGGGGCACAGAUCUACCCCUCACACUAACACCGGGCCCCCCUACAGAGGGUCCGAUGAGAUGACAAACAUCUGUAUAGGGACAUGAGGUAUGGCAGCUACUCUUAGCUGCAGUCAAACUGAAUAACUCUGUUUUGGGAUUUAGUGUGGACAUCUGGUAGACGCCGUGAAAUUACAUCUUUCAGGACCCGCCGGGGUUGAGUUAUGUCAGCCAGCAGCAGCAGCAGCAGCAGCAGCAGGUCAGAGUUGAGGCCAGGUAACAGCUGGCUGGAGCGAAGGGUUGGAGGGUGGAUGAAGGUUGGGACUGGGGAUGUUUCAGACACGGUCACUGAAGCACUUAAGUUUAAAUAAGCUUCAGAGCAGAUUACUUCUCAAAGGUGUCACUGUCACGUUUCCUGACAGGACCGCACAGGAGCUGACACUGCCUUCAGUUCGCAUACGCGGUGGUUCUCCUGCUUCCUCUUGCAGACCAAAGACAAGCUUGUCAGGUUCACUGGUCCCUCAUUUGGCUACGGUGUGAGGUUGGCUCGAAUGAGCAUGAAUGAGAUGAGAUGAGAUGACUGAUAAUUCAGGGAUGAUUUCUGCUGUGAAAACAGACUCCUGAGAGUUGAGCUGUAGUCCUGACAAUGUCAUUGUCUGAGUUGAGACAUCUCUGACGAAAUGUGCCGUAAUAAAAUCAAACAUGCAUAAUGAGGGUGUGUUCAGUCCUGUCAAAAGCAAAAACUGUAAAUAUCAGCGACAUUAACAGUGUCAACAACUCAUCCUUGGGUCCAAAAUGGGUUAGGGUCAGUCCCCCCGCUGUCAUUAUGUCCUGAUGCUACUUGGACACUGACUUGCUGCUAGCUAGCUAGGUAUAUCACCAUGAAUGUUAGGGCUGCUGCAAUAUUAGUCUCUUUUCUUUUCAUUUGCCACUUUAUGAUUGCACAAAUGGGUUAGGGUUCGGGUGUUAGGGUUAAACCGAAAACAUACAGGAUCAGUAUUGAGCGCGUUCUGUAUUUGCCCCAUAGAGCAGCAUUGGGUAUCUCAUACAGGAUCAGCUUAUUUGGAGCGUAGCAGCAGUGCAGGAUAUAAUUUGGAUAUAAUUCAGUGACUGUUGAGCCUCUACUGUAUGUGAAAAAGCUUUAAGAGAUUUUACAGUUUGUGUUUUUACAGGUUUCCUGGUGUUUAAUAAAGUAAACUCUGUUCCUUUAUGCUGUUUCCUUCAGACAGAGUUAGCAGGUCAAAGUCCUGUUGGGGUCCACAUGGAUCAGGGAUCGACCAUCGGAUUGUUCUGUGUUACUGAUAAAUCAAGAACGUAUUUCUCAUCGACACGAACUGAUACACAGUAGGGAGUUUGCAUAUGGUGUUUUAUUUUGAAAUACCCGAUGACAUUAGCAGUUUUCAUGCUUGACUUCCUGUCUCGAUCUGUCUCUUGAUCUUCUCUGUGUGGAUUGAUGCGUGUUGUAAGCAUAGAGCAGCAAAAAUAAACUUGUAGUGUAUCUUUAGCAGAGCUGCUCUCAAUACAGAGCUGAUAUGCGUUCUGUAUGCUUUGCUGCAUUGAUUAGAAUGGAAACCUAUUUGCUGCUGCCAUGCUCCAAAUACGCAUCCUGUAUGUUGUCGCCUUUAGCGUUAGGGUUGGGGUUCGUUUUCCUCCUCUUUCAGCGUCUAUGAGAACCACUCAUUUUUGCCUUCCUGCCAUGUUUGUUUGGUAAGUAUGCGGCUUCCUGUUUAGCGCCGGUCAUAGCGUAGCUUUCAUUUUUUUUUGAUAAUUUAAGGAUGAGACUCUAGACCUGUGAUUUCACUAAACAUGUUUGAACAUUAAAUAAAAAACGUCUGAAUUGAGUUUAAAGACUUUCUUUAACUGCGAUCACAUCCAAGUCCUCAAAUUUACAGUCUGAUCCUGAUGAAAUAUUCCUAACUAACACGAACAUACCUGCAUAAUGAGGGUCAUAAUAAACACAGGCUGUCAUAUACAGUGUUGAAGGAUGGACCGUUUCCUAUAAAGUGACACCGGCCUGUCUUUUGAUCAUAAAUCUAACCUGGUUAUGUGCUUUUUUAAGUGCAAUGCAUCCCACACAGUGCCGGUAUUUUUAUGCCCGUGCAUGCUGCAGCUUUAAUAUCUCAGAGGAUAAUUUAAGAUUAUUAAAAAGUUCAGGAUAGUUUUGAAAAGUUCUGGUCAACAUUUUUAUCACUAACAUAAAUUUUGUGCAGAACAGAGUUUUCUUCAGGGGAUAAGGCGAAUAAAAUGUUGCACCGGCCAAUAAACCUUUCCUAAAACCUUUUCCUGGGAUUAUUUCGCAGUCUAACAACAAAAUUACUCGUAUUGUCCACCUCAGGGGAGAGAGUGGAUGCUGCAGAUAGAGGGACAGAAACAAGCUGUCUGUGAUUGGACGUCAGCGGCGGGAUGGCUUUCAGUCCAAACGACUUCUGAAAAAUACCCAGUGGAAAGAAACGCUAAAUAGAUCUGUCGAGGGGCAGGAAGAGUUGGAAUUUGAUGUCACCCCUGUGCCACUGCGUUUACCCGACACAAUUAAGAGCUCUUCCCGUCAGUGUUGCACUCUCUAACUUAAUCCAUCUGUGUCACCAUCCAGGUCCCCAUGCAGGACCUAAUCUAGGCUAAAUGCAUCUAUAAUCCAAUUAAUCUGUCAUAGCACAGGCCCACUGACGAUAUUUUUACUUUCUGCUGACACAUCCCAUUUCCCUCCUGGCAAAAUAAUGAGGCGGGAUAACUUAAUUUGGAUAACAGAGAGCUGUAAUGAAAGACAGUUAACACAGCGAAGGCCCAGACAAAGCCGCGCAUGGAAAGUGCAAAGGGUGUGAGUCUAUGUCUUUAUAAUGAGAUUUAUUCUCUGGCUCCAAACUUCUGUUGACUUUCUGUCAUCUUCACGAUGAGAACGGAUCGCUCACACCUCCAACAUCACCGCGCACAAUAGUACAGAUGUGACCUAACGCUGGUAAUCUCAUUAACGUCACUUCAGCCGAAAGGGAAGGUCGUUUGAAAUCGUUUAUGAAUCUGAGAGGAGUUUCUAUGUUUUAACUCGAGUUUUACUCCUACAGGUCCCAAAUGACACCACACAAACAUCCAAUAUGUUUCUAUUUCAAACUAGAGUAUAGAUACGAUCUCCCCGGAGAUGUUCAAACCUAAAAUAAUACUCACUUUAAUGUCAACAGACUCCAGUAAGAAAAAGCAGUAAUUGUACCUCAUUAGCUUGGGUUUACCGCUGCAAUGAUCGGCCCGUUUGUUUGUAUUGUUUUACUCCUUAACUCCAAACCAACACGACUCAAUUACAAACAAACUAGCCGGUGGUAGACCACCAAAUCCCACACCAGAAACUUUGAACUGAGCCGUGUAGCUAACAACUAACGACUGCCUGAGGUUCGAAAAAGGAAAGCUUUUGGUGAACAAAGUUUGUUUGGGUGGAUUUUACACAAAAAUAAACACUUCACAGCGUUUACAGUGUGUUUGCGGCUGCAGGCUGCAGCAGUCCGCCGGCACAACAUCAAAACUUUCUGUACUCAUUAGAUCUCAAAAUAUGUACAACCCCGAGUCCAGAAACACAAAAAUCAUCUUAACUCUAUAUUCAAACUUAAAUAACGCAAAAACAUCCUCUCACUUUUGACAAGUUUGGAAAGUUAAAUAGUCUUCAGACAGAGGAUUUCUCGAUGUCAAAGGCUACAGUAGGGACCAUAAGCAGGACUCUUCUACUACUGAGCCGUUCUGUUGUAAUCCUACAGGAUGUGGUUUGUCGUUGUCUCACAGGUCUUCCUGAUAAACUUUUUCUGGAUAGCAGCAUCAUUUUCAUAUCCAUAUUUAAAGGGAUAUUCCGGCGUAAAAUUAAUUUAGGGUCAAACACACAGUAACACAGAGUUAGACACCCCCGAGAGAGAUGAAUGUUGCCGACCGCUUGCUUCUCUAGUUAUACCAACUUUAGUAACGACCGCAGGAUAGAAAUACACAGCGUUCUGAGGAGCCAUAAACGAACCUCAACCAAAACGCCACAAAUAAUGCUCAGAACAGCACCUAACUUCAUCAACAGGACAUAUAGGGUCACAGACAUAGUACUAGACACCAAAAACCUUUUUAACUGCUCUUCCAGCAGCUACUUGUUUGUAGCGAGACCUCAGGCCAGUCCAUUACGGACUACAGCGGGGUGCCGCAGCUCAAGGAAGAACAUUUACGAUCAUUUCCUCAUGGAAAUACAAUCAGACCAAGACGCUAAGGCAGAAGAACUACAGCGUCUGUAAAAUGAUUAAUAUGGUGAUUAUUACUUCAAGGAAAUGAUAAAGAAAUUAUUGUUUGUAAAGUUUCUGUACCAUGGGAACGUCCAUUCAACCCAGUACAAUCAGAUAUGGUACUGGAUAACUGCUGGUAAUUUUGAUAUUGCAGGACACUUGCACAUGCACUCCUCUAAACUUGCAAUCAUUGAAAAUGUUUGUUUUAAGUCAUUUUUGAGCUCAUGCGGUGACUUCCACUACAGAGUCACAUCUGUUAUAUAGGGGUAUUGACUGGGGGCCCAAAUAACAUGCAAACCAUCAAAACCUGUUCCUCCACAGCGUCCAAACAGUUUGGAAGUCCGGGUUGUAAAUGCCGGGCGGAGUCUAAAGCUAUGAGGAUUACUCUGUGACUCUCAUCAGUGCACACUGUAGCUGAUAAUGGCGAGGUGCUGACUAACUCUUCUAAUGAGCUGCACUCCAUGAAAGACAAAAAUAAGACACAUUAAUAAUCCAGGCAGGGAGCCCUGCAACCGCUGAACCACAAAACACAACGCCGUGUCAUUGGAGAGUCGUCUUUCUCUGUUAAUUGUCAUUGAUUUAUUCCAAAAUAGUCUGCAGCAGGACAAAGUCUUGUCAUCUGGGUGAUAAUUAUAAGAUGUAACCUUGUACCUGCUGAGGGAGGAGACAGGCAUAAGCACCGGAUGACAUCUGAUGGGUGUUUCAGAUCAGCUCUACUUCUUUCAGUAAGCUUUUACUGUCUGACAUUUCUUUCUUGGCAGGAGCUGUUGGAUGAAAUGACAAAACUCCCUCUGCUCCACCAUCCUGAGGGAGCAGGGGGUUCAAUUUAUACACUGUCUGUUGUAAAAGCAAACUCAGGGCGGCUGAAGCCAAACUAUCACAGAGCCAAAAAGGCAGUAUUAAAAAAUCACUGCUUUUCAUAAUCUAAAAACUGAUUUUAAGAAGAACUAUGGAUAGGUCCAGUUCCAUCAACUGGGACAAGAACUGUGUGCAUGUAAAUCCAAACUGGAGCCCCAAACUUUCCCACACAAGAAUCAAGAGUAUUGUCUGUUUUCAGACAGGUAAUAUUCUGUCCUUCACAUUGCUGUGCUUUCAAAAAACGAUCAUUUGAAAAUGGUCCAUUUACCGCAAGAGCUGUUGAACGAAGAAGUGGGAACAAAUCACUGAAAUAGCAGCAAAGAAUGGCUGAUUAUCACACCUGCCUAUCAGCGGCUAUAGCACAUGCAUUUUGCAAGAACACUGGGAUUGAACAUUGCCAGCACGCCCUCUCUUCAACCUAUUCCUAUUUCCCGGGAAAUGUCAGUGCUUUUGAUAAUAAGGCGCUUCGCUUUGAAAAGUCAAAUGCCAGAGUGGGGCCUUUAUUGAACUCUCAGAGGUGGGUAUAAUCUACCUACGUCUGCAUGAGUUUUUUACAGAAAUGACACAAAUUAAAGUCUUUAUUGAGCAGACGCUGGAAUCCUAGAAUAUAACUGCCUAUCAGUUUUAAAGCUUGACAUUUGAAAUGUUCAGAUGCAGCAUUAAUGAUCCACUGGAUGGUAUUUACUCUGACUGAUGGUAUCAAAAUAGCUAAUCUGAAGAAACCCAGUUGUGCUUACCAGUGCAUGUACUGUUUCCAGGUUCUCUCAGACUGCAGUCGGUUAAAUGAACAAAAUGGGGACGAUAAAGAAGAUGGAUAAUUAGCUCCCCGGUUACAAAAAUUCUGCAAUAGCAACCAUUACAGCCACGCUGGGUUUGUUAGAUGGCCAUCGGAGGGUUCGAAGCGUGCUCGGUGCAGACCAGGAUGCAUUUGUCUGCUAAAUUAAAAUCACUGUAGUGGGUCUGGUUGUUCGGUUCAUACUGCAGAGAGACGGAGGGAUAGAGGGUGACCUACUCCACUGGACUGAGGUUUUUUCUCAGGUCUGCAUGUUGAAGUAGUUUGGUGGGUGAAGGAGUUAGCGUUCAGCAGCAGCAACAUCUGUGAGCAUGUAAACAAGCGUUCCUGUGAGUUUACAUCCUGUUUCAGCAAAGUGCAAACUAAUUAUCAAUAAAACAUGCUGCGAUGCAACGUGAGCGCGUGAUAUACAAAAUAAUGACGCAGGGUACAGCCAGUAACCUUCAGUUUGAUGAGUGUCAAACCUCCAUGAAUAAUAAAGUCAGAUAUGAAUGAACAAAAAGACAGACGCAUGUAUAGAAAAUUAAUCAACAAAUAGUCAGGACAACCUGAUCACAUGUUUUUUUUCUGUAUUUCUAUAUAAAAAGUCCCUUAUUUAAACCACAUCCACCUGACAAGUCCAGAAAAAAAAAUAUUAUUACAAGAUAUUAGUUGCAAAAAUAAAGUAAAAUAUAUAUAUAAAAUAUAAUAUAAAAUAAUCAAAUAAUGACUUUUGUCUUUUUUAAAUAAAAUAUUUCACUUCAAAAUCUUAACAAUUCACUUUUUCUCUUAUACCAUCAGUUUUUUAAUAUUUUUUUUACUCCUUAAAGCUAUUUAAUUACAGAGUAUUUAGGCGAAAUUGGAAAAACAAUUUAUAAUAGCAAUAAAGUCACAAGAAAAUAAGAUUUUAAGUUGCAAAAAGUCAUAAUCUUACAUUUAAUUCAGUCAUUAUAUUCAGAGAAUAAAAUCAUGAAAUUUAAGACUUGGUUUUAUGGUAACAAAGUCUCUGUAAAGUCAUAAUCUAGUAAAGUUGUAGUAAAUUAAUAAAGGUGGAAACGUUAAGUCAUAUCAUAAGGAUAAAAUAAAGUCUAUUUUAUUAGAAUGAAGUCAUGAAAAAGUCGUAGUUUUUGUAGCAGCUAACUUUCUGUACCAGGAUUCUCUUGUUGAAGCUAACUUUAGUCCAGGAUUUAGGAUUUUGUUUUAUUCUUGACUUUAUUCUAACAUCAUGACUUGAGUUUGACCUUCAUACUCUGUUGAACUAUUCAACUCUCAUUUUUCCUGUUUGUAAUAUUUUGUAUUUAGAAACUUUUCUGGACUUGUCAUGUGAAGCGGUCCUGAUAAUAGCAACAACUUUUAGACUUUAUCUUAUUUCUACUUUAUUUUAAGACAAAUCAGAAACUGAACUAUAUGAGCCAAACCAGAGCCAUCCUGCUCACCCUGUCAGGAUUCUGAUCUGCAUCAUCACCCCUUCACAACACGUUUUCUCAUUCAUUCACCAUCAGCCUGAAGUCGUUACAAAGGUAAACUCAUCCUCCUCCUCCUCCUCCUACCAGAAAAUAGCUCCAACAUGGCGGCGGCGGCGGCGGUCCUCCUCUUCAUUAUUUCAUUACACUCUGUUGUGUUAAAUGUCACAAUAUCCAUUUCAGCUGACAGAGAGAGAGAUGUGCCUGUUAGCUGAAACCACCUCUCUUCAGAUUUAUGCUCUACCCCCCCACACACACUCACACUCACACACUCUUAACGUGCUAAUGAUUUUCAGACCUUCCUCUUUAAUUCACCCAGCAGCUGUACUCGCAGCUGUAUGCCCGCAGAGACAGCCAAUCACAAUCCAGACUGCUGCAUUUUUCCGUCACUCUCUGCCUCUCUUCUCUCAUCUUUCGCUCUAUUUUUCUUCUUUAUGUGCUCAGGAUCGAGCUGACAUUCUUUCCUGUCACUCUGUUCUCUGUUCAGACUCCUCCGUUUGUUCAUCCGUCUGUUUUUGGAAAAACUUUUGACAGAAAUGAAUCAGGUAUUUUUUCUUCUUCUCCUUUUUUUUACACAGUAUCCUCAUGGGAUUCGUUUAAUUUGCUGCUAAAGCUGCUCAUUACAGCAUGAAAUAUGUAUUUUUUGCUGUUUAGGCAAACAGCACUCAGACUAAUUUUGUCUAUGGUAGCUUUAUUAUGGAGUCAUCAUUUCUACAGAGGAGAUUGUUUCAAUAAAACAUGAGACUCCUAUAAAAAAACCAACAGUCACUGAGUGCAAAACAAAUGUGCACACGGAAACAUAUUUCCCUUUUUGGUUCAUGUCAGUCUGCACACGACAAACAAUUAUAAUUGCAUUAGGAGUUUGCAGUAUAUAUUCCAUGCUCACAACAGGAAGCCUUCUUUGUGUCUGUCAGCACAAACCAAAAGAUGGUGGCGAGCUCUGCAGCCCGGGCGGCGAGAUCAGACCGAGAAACCAAAAGUCAGUGUUGACGUAUUUUUGUAGCUCAGACCAAGAUCAAAAAACAAACUCAGAACUUUUUUAGAUUUAUUGGCUCGAGCCACAACAACUCACUGGAGGAUUUAGAGUUGGAAAAUGUGCAUUUGACAAAUAAGCAGAGAUGUUAUUAGUGAAUGAAUGAACCCAAA